AUCGAGUCGUGCAAGGGCCAAUGGCACCAUCUUGCAGAGCCGUUUCGCAGUAGCUAUAUAAAUCAACUUUCAUAUUUUGAAUCGUCGCUAAAGGGUGGCGCUGUUAUCGUAUUUAGUUUGGUCUCGAUGAAUGCGAGAAAUCCGGAUUUCAAGGGCGAGUUUCCCAGGCAGAAGCAAUACCAAUCUGGCACGUCUGCUCACACAAUGGGAGCACGUCGAGAAUGUGACCCAGUCUUCCCCAGUUUUCGACAACGUCCACAUGAACUAAUGCGCAAAACCUUGUGGCCCUUUAAAACUAACUCAUGGUGUUUCAUAUUGAGAGGUGUUUUACUAGCAAGAUCAUGAGGAAGAAGUAAGCCUCUCUAUGCAGUAAAGGCCUUGCUCAGAUCUUCCAUUGCACUGCGUAAGUUCAACUGCAGGCCAAAUCUACCCUCUGUUGGUCAUGGGAUUCAUACAUGGCCGCGUUGGGAGCACAUGCGGGCUCUCAUGCGGAUGAAUUGGGAUUGAAUCCCCCUACUAUUGGUUGCUUGUCUAGAAAGUUCCACUGCAUUCUUGUCAAUUAUUGUGUGUUCUAGUUUAGAAACUUCUGGAGACUAAAGCAUGUAUAAAAGCAGACAUAGCAUGCUGCAUUGAUCAG